GGAAGGUCCCACCGUACUGUAGACGUGGACAUGGCUUCAGGAGGCUGAAAGGAAGACAUUCCAAACAAGCACACAGUGGAGCCAGGUUGUUGCUUGGACUCUCUCAUGUCUGGUGUUUCCUGAGAGUUUUUGGAAACCGCGUUUUACCAGGACACCCAGGCCAUCCAGGCCACUGGAGAAGCUCCGCCUGCUCUCGGGCUGGCAAUGUGGCCACACAGACUGUGACCUGGUGCCCGGUGGGAUCACUGUUGGGGGUGCUGACUCUUCUGCUGCCUCAACCGUGGUCCAUGCUGCAGUCCUGCAAAGCCACUGCAGGCAGGGCAGACCCCGUUAGAAGGACACAGUCCCCAGGCCACCCACACUGCUGGCCAGCUGGCUGCAGGGAGGAGAUCUCCAGUUUCCCCUCAGGUUUGAGGAGGUUCACCAGCCCAGUGUGCAGAACUCAGAAAAGCACUGAGUUCUGAUGAAAACUUCUGUGAGGGCAGGGCACAGGCGACCCUGGGGCACGGGUGAGGUCUGUGUCCUGCGCGGUCCCCUCCUGCCACCUCCCGCGGGGCUUCCUGCGACUGACAGGAUUGCUCACGGUUGAACUCUGUCUCCGGCCCCUCUCCUGGCCCCACCCUGCCCUCUAAGCCGAGGGUGGUCUUCUGGUGCCAACCCCACCAGGGCAGCCUCCUUGACGUACCUCAGGUACGAAGCCCUCCAGUGCUGGGGAGAUCCUGAGCGCUCCAGACGCUUCGCCUCAGGAACCCAGAGACCAGACAGUUCUCCACGACUGCCCAGCUCCAGGGAGAGGGGAGGACACGCAGCGUCCGAUGGAGGGCAGUGGCACGUGACUCUUGGAGGGCACCUUCUUCCCGAUGUCUCUGCCCAUGCUCCUGGUCUCCAGUGGGGAGGUGCUCUGGCCUCACGGAGCCUGGAAAGCCACACCUCUGUGCCCAGGGUGUGAUCCCAGGGCAGCAGGGAGGAACACGGGGAAGGGAGGCGGGAGAGAGCCGCUGAGGCUGCGUGAGGGGCCUGCCUCCUGUGUGCUGCCCCCUGGGCUCGCCAAGGCUGC